rnacentral:rRNA from 1 species
CGGAGGAUCCAAGCGUUAUCCGGAUUUAUUGGGUUUAAAGGGUGCGCAGGCGGAAGAUUAAGUCGGCGGUGAAAUUUUGCAGCUCAACUGUAAAAGUGCCAUCGAUACUGGUUUUCUUGAGUGUGGAUGAAGUAGGCGGAAUUUGUGGUGUAGCGGUGAAAUGCAUAGAUAUCAUGAGGAACUCCGAUUGCGCAGGCAGCUUACUAGGCCAUAACUGACGCUCAGGCACGAAGGCGUGGGGAUCAAACAGGAUUA